rnacentral:rRNA from 1 species
GACGAACGCUGGCGGCGUGCUUAACACAUGCAAGUCGAACGGGCUGCCUGGUUUUCGGAUCGGUUGGUGAGUGGCGAACGGGUGAGUAACACGUGAGUAACCUGCCCCUCUCUUUGGGAUAACGUCGGGAAAUCGGCGCUAAUACCGGGUAUUCUGGCUUCCUCGCAUGGGGCUGUUGGGAAAGGUUUUUUCUGGUGGGGGAUGGGCUCGCGGCCUAUCAGCUUGUGGGUGGGGUGAUGGCCUACCAAGGCGGUGACGGGUAGCCGGCCUGAGAGGGUGUCAGGGCACACUGGGCCUGAGACACGGCGCAGGCUCCUACGGGAGGCAGCAGUGGAGAAUAUUGCACAAUGGGCGGAAGCCUGAUGCAGCGACGGAGCGUGGGGGAUGACGGCCUUCGGGUUGUAAAGCUAUUACAGUGAAGAACAAGGCUCUUUGUGGGUUGAGGGUAUGAGACGAAGAAGCGCCGGCUAACUACGUG